GACCAGCUGGUCCGUGGAGAGCGAGCUCACUUGCAGCGUGGUCAGGCCGGCCAGCGUGGCCAGGCCGUUCAGCUGGUCGGUGGUCA
rnacentral:tRNA from 1 species